rnacentral:rRNA from 1 species
UAGAGUUUGAUCCUGGCUCAGAAUCAACGCUGGCGGCGUGCCUAACACAUGCAAGUCGAGCGAGAAAGGGGGGGCAACUCCCUGAGUACAGCGGCGCACGGGUGAGUAACACGUGGGUAAUCUGCCCUGGAGUGGGGAAUAACACCGGGAAACCGGUGCUAAUACCGCAUACGAUAACGAGGUUUGCGGAUCUUGUUAUGAAAGGAGCAAUUCGCUCCAGGAGGAGCCCGCGGCUGAUUAGCAAGUUGGUGAGGUAAUGGCUCACCAAGGCAACGAUCAGUAUCCGGUCUGAGAGGACGGUCGGACACACUGGAACUGAGACACGGUCCAGACUCCUACGGGAGGCAGCAGUGGGGAAUUUUUGGCAAUGGGGGCAACCCUGACCAAGCAACGCCGCGUGGGUGAUGAAGUCUCUUGGGACGUAAAACCCUUUCGACGGGGAAGAAACCGCAAGGUUGACGGUACCCGUAGAAGAAGCCCCGGCUAACUCCGUGCCAGCAGCCGCGGUAAUACGGGGGGGGCAAGCGUUGUUCGGAAUUACUGGGCGUAAAGGGUGCGUAGGCGGUUCGCUAAGUCGGAUGUGAAAACUCUGGGCUCAACCCAGAGCCUGCAUCCAAAACUGGCGGGCUAGAGUUCUGGAGGGGGUAGCGGAAUUCCUGGUGUAGCGGUGAAAUGCGUAGAUAUCAGAAGGAACACCGGUGGCGAAGGCGGCUACCUGGACAGAAACUGACGCUGAAGCACAAAGCUAGGGAGCAACAGGAUUAGAUACCUGGUAGUCUAGCCUAAACGAUGAAUACUGGCUGACUGGGAUCGAAUCAGC